CUAACUUGUUUUGUAGUACUAUGUUAAUUAAAGGAAACAUCACUAAGACCAAAACUAACACGUCAAAAUAUAUGCUAACUUACUGUUUAGAUGCUAUCAUUGUAAAGUUAAAAACCUUAUUGUGUUUGCUAACCACUAACAUACUUUUUAUCGACCAUUACAUCGUUUAUUGGGUGUAGUACUUUAAUCAUUACUGAGGGCUGUUACUGGUGUCUAUGUAGUUCUAACACUAAACUUAACAUCUUCGUUAUUAAUCACUAAACAACUAGUAGCAUCUUUUCUUUUUGGCUUACAAAAGACUCUCUUUUUCAUAAAUUUAUCUCGUUCUCUCUCUACCAAAUCAAGUUGACAGUUAUGGUUUUUCAUAACUCGCUUAAAUAGACCAUCAAAAUUAAAAAAAAAAUUGGGGAUAACCCUUACAUCUUCC
rnacentral:lncRNA from 1 species